AAAAAUCCCAAAGUUCUUCUCUCUGCUCUUAACUCUCAAAAAGAAAAAAUCGUGAGAUAACAACUGCCUGCUGCCGCUACCAGACUCAAAAACAAGAGAAGAAUCAACCUGACCGGUGGAGGGGUAAGUCUGAGUCAGCAGCCAAACACAAAAAAGUCGUCAGACGUAGGAGAACCUGAUUCGAGUGCAUCCAGGGACAGCGAAAGAAAGAGGCUGAAGUUGAUUUCUGACCGUAGACUUUGGCCAGCAAAACAAAGCAACCGCUUCGAGAUCCAUUAACUCAAUUUUCAGAAGAUUGCUUCUUCAAUUCCCUUGGAGGAUACUUGAGGGAUGUUGGCGCUGCGUUAGAAUUGUUAAGAGCUUCAGAAAUCACCCUACAUCCUGAUGAAUCGGUUCUGGAGAAACUAAAUUACUGGACGCGUCGCUUCCUGAAACAAGAAUUAUCCUCUAAUUUAAUUCAGGCGCAUAGACUCAAUAAGCAUAUUGCCAAGAGGUGGAUCAUGCUCUUAAGUGUCCUUACCAUGCAAACUUGGUUCGGUUGUCAAUCAGGUAAGUUAUGAAGCAUUACAACGCAGAUAGUUCAAGGAUUCUAAAAUCUUCU